GAGAGAGAAGGGGCGCUACUUUCAGGGUUUGAGGUGGCGAUGGAGGAUGAGGUGCUCACCGUUACAGUGCCUAAGGAGGAAGUGAAGAAGCCUCAAGUGAAGGCUAUUGAUAUCUCUGGUUAAGAGAAUUAUCUCUAGAAUUUCGAUUCUAUGUAUUUUGACUGUUAUGAAUCGACAUGUAAUAAUGUAUAGUGUGUAGUUUGUUUUACUCAAGUGUGUUUGGCUGUAAGAACAGAAUGUACUAUUAUGCUUGAUGUUCCGAAACA